GCUUAGGUAGUAUAUCUAUUACUUUGGUCUUGUAAACCAAAAACGGAGAACCUAUUCUCCCCAAAGC
rnacentral:tRNA from 1 species